UAUAAUGUAGCACUAAGGUUUUCAUGGCCGAUCGUGAUUUUACUGUCUAUCAUCGUAUACGGUAACACUGUGACAUAUAAAUGAAACAUCUUACUAAGGUUGUGAACAGGUAAACCGAAUGUCCAAUUAUAGCCGGCAAACAAGAGCUGCAUAUGUCGCAUGCCCACAUCAAUGGUUCACUAAAGGCAAGUUUUAUCAACACCAGAGGUGGACUUUUGUGUACAAGUAGUGGCGUUGGUACAUUACAAACCAUAUAAGGUCGAGUAAACGGGUUAUCUACAGGGUGGUGAAUGUGAUUUAAGCAGACCGCUACAAACAAUCUUGAGAUUGUUUUAUCAGAUUGGUAACUGCUGCCAUCACUUAAGAUGAACAAAGAAGGGGAUAGACUAGUAAUCUACGUUAAUGGUGUUAAGAAAGCCAUUGGAGAACCACAUCCAUCAACAACCCUUCUCCAGUACCUGCGAAAUGAAC